rnacentral:misc_RNA from 1 species
AUCACAGGAGCGCUCAGUCAGAGCGGACGUGUGUGUGUGACUGGACCCUCGAGUCAAGAGCUUAGCGCGCGCAGAGGAAACAGGACCGGGGUAUGUGAAGCGGGUAGGGUCACUGGAGCAUGACUGAUUUCAUAGUCCCCCAAUCACAAACAAUCUUCGUAUGGAAAUGUCGGUAUGACGUGCUUCGCUAAUAAUACAUGGUAGGAAUCACGAGGAGGUUUUGUGUAUAGGCUGCGUGUAUAUAAAAUCUGCUGAGAACGAGGACAGUCAGUUCAAACUUGGAAUCAGAGAGAAAAAGACUGUUUGUUUAAGAAACGCCAACAAAGACUUUGACCAUGCGGACAUUUAUACGUUACUUUGUCCUCUCGGUGUGUGUGUAUUUAGUUUCGAGCAACAAAGCCUAUGUGCAGGUGUCCGACACAACACUGACCGAAAUCAGCGAGUGCAAGUUACCUAGGACCAUAUAUAUCACAGUAACAACAGAUGGCCAUUCCUUACCUCUAACACUCACCAAGAAUGCCGAUAUUGAUAUAAAUGUUCCGCUAUACACGACAAGUCUGUUUCGAGAUGAUGAGGUGAAGAAGGAAAUCCUUCUCGACAUAUCGGAUAGCGCAGAAUACCAAGAUGAGGUGCAAAAAGCGGCCAUGACAGUUGACUGUCAGAUGCUGGAAAACCAAGGAGUAGAUGUAUCAGUGCAUGGUUCAAUCACAGUGGACCGGAAACUAUAUAUUAUAGAGAGACCAAAGAGGCAGCGCCGAGAUACAAAUUCAACAAGUGAUCCAGAAGAAUACGAAAUUACUGAAGAUGUUGCACCAGUCACAGCAAAUGAUUACAGAGAGGCACCUCCAACGGCCGAGGAUCCCCUACGUACCAUCAAAGAAACUCAUCAAGUGCUUCCUCUCAAGGAUGCCACCAUUACUAGACAUAAACGCCAUUCUUCACAAUAUGUACCGCUGAAAGAUGCCCCCCUCGACAGGCAAAAACGUCAAGUUUCACAGUAUUAUAUUGAUGUCCUUGCUCUUGUAGACUACGGCGUUUAUGAAAGAUGGUAUGGCGUCAGCACAAAGCCAACCGCUGCUCAGAAAAAAAUAGAAACCUUGCAAAACAUAAGACGUUACUAUGCCUACGUCAUGAACGGGGUCAGUCUGAGGUUCAAGUCAAUAACUGGCCUUAACUCACGGAUUAAUGUUCGGCUUGUGGGCUACUAUGUGGCCGAGACCGCAGCUUCAUCGCCAUGGACAGAAUCAUUCCGGAUAUCCGGUAGUUCUGGUUCCGAAGUUGAUGCGGACAAAGUACUUGUAUAUCUCCGAGAUUGGGUCGCCAGGACGUCACUUCCGGCAAACGAUCACGUCAUGAUGUUCUCUGGGUAUGAUCUUUACACUAUCAACUCCAUCACCAACGCCAAAUCCACUGCCACUUCAGGGCUCGCUUACAUCUCGACUAUGUGCAGAAGCGACGGGAGGAGUAUUUCAUUGGUGGAAGACGUCGGAGGGUUCCAGUGUGUUGAUACUGCCGCCCAUGAACUUGGACACGGCCUUGGAGCUAAGCAUGAUGGUGAUGGUAACAACUGCAAAGCAAAUGACCGUUUCAUCAUGUCUGGGGGAUCAUACAAGACUAACACAGAAAAUGAACGGAAUCCAUGGUUCUUCUCCACAUGCUCAGUCGAUUACUUCCGGACUCUGAUUUCAUCCCUUUCCAGGACAUCAAAUGGAAUCCAGUGUCUCACCAGUGCCUUGCCUGUAGAAAGUGUUCCGGAUAUAGGCUCGGUGAACCCAGGACAACUGUACAACCCUGAUCAGCAAUGUCAGAUGACCCAUGGAGCCCGUUCAAGACUCUGCAUGGGUCCAGAGUUCGGUAAUUACAGUCUGGUGUGCACCAGCAUGUUCUGUUUGGAUCCAACCAGCGUGGGCACCUGCUUUCAGCACGAGGCUGCCCGGGGGACAACCUGUGGCGAUAGGAAGUGGUGCAUAGAUGGAUUGUGCCAGUAUUCCCCUGAAGCUCCAUCUGCGGACGACGAUUGUGUAUUUGGAGACCAGAGCGGGGUAUCGUUUGAGGGCCAGACUUGCGAGGACUUCACAGCCGGUGAUAACUCUCCGUACUGUUACCAGGAGGUGGUCAGAGGCCGCUGUUGUGCCUCCUGCAAGAGACAUUUCACAGGUGUACAAAGCUGUCUUUACGGCGACAAGGUCCGCGGCUGCGAAGACCAGUUCUGCGCCUACAUAUACGACGACGGUACCCGGUACGCGGACAACUGCUGUAAGACUUGCGGACGUGGUGUUACAGUCCCCAUUACGACAACUACAACAACGCGAGCACCAGUAACAACAAAAACAAUAACAACAACAACAACAACAACAACAACAAGAGCACCUGUUCCCACUACGGCAUCCACUUCACAAGGAGGUGAUUGCACCAGUAACCUUGGUGACAGGAAUGGCGUAACUUUCAACGGAAUGUCGUGUGUCGGAUACGUCAUCUCAGACCCAGGCGUCUGUUACAGCGAGUCCACCCAAAACUACUGCUGCUUCUCUUGUAAACAGAGACAAACGGGCAUACAAGGCUGCAUGUACGGGGAUUGGUUCAGUGGAUGUGUAGAUAACGCUUGCGACUACGUCUACGCGGACGGAACUCCCUACCGUUUCUACUGCUGCGACACCUGCAGCGGUAGACCGGCAACAACAACAACAACAACAACAACAACAACAACAACAACAACCCCAACUACCACUACAACAACUACCACCACUACCACAACUCCUACUACAACUACACCCACAACUACGACAACCACUCCCACAACAACGACUACAACAACGACCGCCAGACCCACCACCACUACACCUGUGCAAGAGAGGUGUUCAGAGAGGAUAUACGGUGUAAGCUGCCAGGCUUAUAUCGGCCUGUACGGCAAGGGGCGUUGCUACAACAGCGACGUUUCUAAAGCAUGCUGCAGUUCGUGUGCAGCUGUUUCCAACCCCUCCAAACCAGGGCGAGGUUUCUUUUUCCGACGUAGGCCAUUAAGUGGUCGUAUUAAGCCUUCAUCACGCCCAUCGUCUUGGAUGCGUUAUCUUUCAUCUUUAGGAUUUCUUUCCUAGGGAAGAUAACAAAUAACAAUGAAACGAAAUUGGAAAAUGACAAAAAGGCAAGACUGCCCCUACGGAGACCGAUAUAAUAGCUGCUAUGCAGUACUCUGUGACCACGUCUUUGACGACGGAACGCCGUACACAUACUUCUGCUGUGACACGUGUUCAAACG